rnacentral:rRNA from 1 species
UACAGAGGUCCCGAGCGUUGUUCGGAUUUAUUGGGCGUAAAGGGUGCGUAGGUGGCUAAGUAAGUUGGAUGUGAAAUCCUGGGGCUUAACCUCAGAAUUGCAUUCAAUACUGCUUAGCUAGAGAGCUGUAGAGGAGACUGGAAUUUACGGUGUAGCAGUGAAAUGCGUAGAUAUCGUAAGGAACGCCAGUGGCGAAAGCGAGUCUCUGGGCAGCAUCUGACGCUGAGGCACGAAGGCCAGGGGAGCAAACGGG